GCAGUCGUGGUUCAGUGGUAGAAUUCUCACCUUCCGUGAGGGAGACCUGGGAUUGAUUCCUGGCCGAUGCA
rnacentral:tRNA from 1 species